rnacentral:rRNA from 1 species
AUUGAACGCUGGCGGAAUGCUUUACACAUGCAAGUCGAACGGCAGCACGGGGCAACCUGGUGGCGAGUGGCGAACGGGUGAGUAAUGCAUCGGAACGUGCCAUUGAGUGGGGGGAUAACGUAGCGAAAGUUGCGCUAAUACCGCAUAUUCUGUGAGCAGGAAAGCAGGGGACCGCAAGGCCUUGCGCUCUUUGAGCGGCCGAUGUCAGAUUAGCUAGUUGGUGAGGUAACGGCUUACCAAGGCGACGAUCUGUAGCGGGUCUGAGAGGAUGAUCCGCCACACUGGAACUGAGACACGGUCCAGACUCCUACGGGAGGCAGCAGUGGGGAAUUUUGGACAAUGGGCGCAAGCCUGAUCCAGCCAUGCCGCGUGAGUGAAGAAGGCCU